rnacentral:rRNA from 1 species
AAAUGAAUAGACGGGGGCUCGCACAAGCGGUGGAGCAUGUGGUUUAAUUCGAUACUAAGCGGGGAACCUUACCUGGACUUGACAUCUCUGGAACCUCCUAGAAAUAGGGGGGUGCCUUCGGGAGCCAGAUGACAGAUGAUGCACGGUCGUCGUCAGCUCGUGCCGUGAGGUGUACCGUUCAGUCGGCAAACGAGCGCAACCCCUGUCCUGUGUUGCAUAUCACGGGAGACUGCCUCGUCCAACGGGGAGGAAGGCGGGGAUGACGCCAGAUCAGCGUGUCUCUUACGUCCAGGGCGACACACGUGCUACAAUGGCGAGUACAGAGGGUCGCAAAGCCGUGAGGCGGAGCUAAUCCCUAAAACUCGUCCCAGUUCGGAUUGGAGGCUGCAACUCGCCUCCAUGAAGUCGGAAUCGCUAGUAACCGCAUAUCAGCCAUGGUGCGGUGAAUACGUUCUCGAGCCUUGUACACACCGCCCGU